CCCUACGAGGCAGCAGUAGGGAAUCUUCCCGCAAUGGACGAAAGUCUGACGGAGCAACGCCGCGUGAACGAAGAAGGCCUUCGGGUCGUAAAGUUCUGUUGUUAGGGAAGAACAAGUACCAGAGUAACUGCUGGUACCUUGACGGUACCUAACCAGAAAGCCACGGCUAACUACGUGCCAGCAGCCGCGGUAAUACGUAGGUGGCAAGCGUUGUCCGGAAUUAUUGGGCGUAAAGCGCGCGCAGGUGGUUCCUUAAGUCUGAUGUGAAAGCCCACGGCUCAACCGUGGAGGGUCAUUGGAAACUGGGGAACUUGAGUGCAGAAGAGGAAAGUGGAAUUCCAAGUGUAGCGGUGAAAUGCGUAGAGAUUUGGAGGAACACCAGUGGCGAAGGCGACUUUCUGGUCUGUAACUGACACUGAGGCGCGAAAGCGUGGGGAGCAAACAGGAUUAGAUACCCUGGUAGUCCACGCCGUAAACGAUGAGUGCUAAGUGUUAGAGGGUUUCCGCCCUUUAGUGCUGCAGCUAACGCAUUAAGCACUCCGCCUGGAAG
rnacentral:rRNA from 1 species